rnacentral:rRNA from 1 species
AUUGAACGCUGGCGGCAGGCCUAACACAUGCAAGUCGAGCGGAUGAAGGGAGCUUGCUCCUGGAUUCAGCGGCGGACGGGUGAGUAAUGCCUAGGAAUCUGCCUGGUAGUGGGGGUAACGGUCGGGAACGGGCGCUAAUACCGGCUACGGCCCGGGGGGGAAAGGGGGGGGUUUUCGGGCCUCACGCUAUCCAGUGGGCCUUAGGUGGGAUUAGCUAGUUGGUGGGGUAAAGGCCUACCAAGGCGACGAUCCGUAACUGGUCUGAGAGGAUGAUCAGUCACACUGGAACUGAGACACGGUCCAGACUCCUACGGGAGGCAGCAGUGGGGAAUAUUGGACAAUGGGCGAAAGCCUGAUCCAGCCAUGCCGCGUGUGUGAAGAAGGUCUUCGGAUUGUAAAGCACUUUAAGUUGGGAGGAAGGGCAGUAAGUUAAUACCUUGCUGUUUUGACGUUACCAACAGAAUAAGCACCGGCUAACUUCGUG